GCGAUCUUCUUCGGAAGAGAGCGGCGGACGGGUGAGUAACGCGUGGGUAACCUGCCCUGUACACACGGAUAACAUACCGAAAGGUAUGCUAAUACGGGAUAACAUAAGAAAUUCGCAUGUUUUUCUUAUCAAAGCUCCGGCGGUACAGGAUGGACCCGCGUCUGAUUAGCUAGUUGGUGAGGUAACGGCUCACCAAGGCGACGAUCAGUAGCCGACCUGAGAGGGUGAUCGGCCACAUUGGAACUGAGACACGGUCCAAACUCCUACGGGAGGCAGCAGUGGGGAAUAUUGCACAAUGGGCGAAAGCCUGAUGCAGCAACGCCGCGUGAGCGAUGAAGGCCUUCGGGUCGUAAAGCUCUGUCCUCAAGGAAGAUAAUGACGGUACUUGAGGAGGAAGCCCCGGCUAACUACGUGCCAGCAGCCGCGGUAAUACGUAGGGGGCUAGCGUUAUCCGGAUUUACUGGGCGUAAAGGGUGCGUAGGCGGUCUUUUAAGUCAGGAGUGAAAGGCUACGGCUCAACCGUAGUAAGCUCUUGAAACUGGAGGACUUGAGUGCAGGAGAGGAGAGUGGAAUUCCUAGUGUAGCGGUGAAAUGCGUAGAUAUUAGGAGGAACACCAGUAGCGAAGGCGGCUCUCUGGACUGUAACUGACGCUGAGGCACGAAAGCGUGGGGA
rnacentral:rRNA from 1 species